GUUAGACAACCAGUCAUACUAUUGAAUGGUCGUGCAACAUUCUUUCAUUUUCCCCUGAGACGAGAGAAAUCUACUAUUUACCUUUUUCACUUCCUCCUACAAUGACGCAAAAAUCGUCAUUUGACGUCAUUGUAGGAGGAACUGUGACACCGUGUCCUAACUACACGCGACGCGAUAAAAUUCCAGCGACAACCUGUGUGUCUGUCCAGACUAGACGCGACGCGACUGUGAGACGCCACACGUCAAUCAAAAAUCACAGCCAUUCAGAACAGCGUGUGGGCGGAGUCUCUCUGUGAAAGCGCACUGCUGGCCCGCACUCGCAUUGGAAAUGGGUAAGGACAUAAUCAAAUCAAGAAAUAAUAUUAUUAAAAAUCAAAACAUUAACAAAA